rnacentral:rRNA from 1 species
UACGAAGGGGGCUAGCGUUGUUCGGAAUUACAGGGCGUAAAGGGCGCGUAGGCGGUGUGUCAAGUCAGGUGUGAAAGCCCCGGGCUCAACCUGGGAAUGGCGCUUGGGACUGGUAUGCUCGAGUUCGGGAGAGGAGAGUGGAAUUCCCAGUGUAGAGGUGAAAUUCGUAGAUAUUGGGAAGAACACCGGUGGCGAAGGCGGCUCUCUGGACCGAGACUGACGCUGAGGCGCGAAAGCGUGGGGAGCAAACGGG